AGGUGCCUUCUUGAUUCUUGAAACUCUAUUAAGGUCUACCCAUUUUUGUGAAGUUUCUUACGUGUUGGGCCUUUGACUUGUACAUUUUUUGGUAUUGGAAUAUGUAACAAAAGCUAUAGCUUUUUCUUUCUUAAUAUGCAGAAGGGAGCGUGAUCACUCUGAUGCUGAGAGAGUCCCAAAAUUUACAUAAAUUAUCUGAACUUCAGGAGCAUUUUCAAGAGAAAGAGAGACAAUACGUUGAACUGCAGGAACAGGUUAGUUUUUGUUACACGCUCAAACUUGUUUGAAUGACUCAUGGAUCUUGCAGUUACAUUUCAGUGUCAUUUUUGAAAAUGAAAUACACUAAAAAAACAGAGUCCUUAUCCUUAAUGGCUUGUAGAAUAGGAUAGUUCAAGAAACAGUCAUGUACAAGGAUGAGCAACUGAGAGAAGCGCAAGGUUGGAUUGCGCGUGCUCAGGAGAUGGAUGCUUUACAAAUCACUCCUUGCAGGCUGAAUUGCGAGAACGUACCGAGCAGUAUAACCAGCUCUGGCUUGGUUGCCAAAGACAGUUUGCGGAGAUGGAUGGAGAGAUUGCAUGUACAUACAGUGCAACAGCUUAAGCUUGACCUUGCCAAUGUAAAGGAAGGUGGUGGCUUGAAAACGAAGUCCAACGGUGCCUCCCACUCCCAGACUUUCCAGAACAGAGGUAACUUUUUAGGCGUCAGAUGCUAAAAUUGUUAAGGAGAAAGGGAAAUAAUUUUACGCUGACUGUUCAAAAUUCUUGAUAUUUUAUGUUCCACAUCAUAUUCAGGCCGUAACUGGAUCAACAAAAUUUGGAAUUGGAAUAUGUGGAAUGGGUCAUUCCGUUUGAUUCCAAAAUAAAAUCACCAGUUACAUGGAACUAAAAAACAAUCACAUUCCAAUAAUUCCUAUGGGAUAAAUGGAAACAAAAGGAACGUAGUAGUAAAUCAUUCAGAAGAAAAAAGUUACGUGAAUGGAGUGGAAUGGAACAAAAUCAGAUAUUUUUAAUUAUGUUUAGAUAAUAAUUAUUUAUUUGCAGUCA